rnacentral:lncRNA from 1 species
GGAACCAUGGCUUUGCUGCUUGUUUACCUUGGAGUAAUACAAAGGGAAAAGUUGGAUAUGUUCAAAGUUGGCCUCCUAAAACAUUUUGACAUCUUGUUUCCUGAUAUUUUGACUUCUGCCUGGGUGCUACCACAAAAUGGAGGAUAAGG